rnacentral:rRNA from 1 species
AGAGUUUGAUCCUGGCUCAGGACGAACGCUGGCGGCGUGCCUAAUACAUGCAAGCCGAGCGAAUGAAUGGGAGCUUGCUCCCUGACAUUAGCGGCGGACGGGUGAGUAACACGUGGGCAACCUGCCCUGCAGAUGGGGAUAACUCCGGGAAACCGGGGCUAAUACCGAAUAAUCAAUUCCUCCGCAUGGAGGAAUUCUGAAAGACGGCUUCGGCUGUCACUGCAGGAUGGGCCCGCGGCGCAUUAGCUAGUUGGUGAGGUAACGGCUCACCAAGGCGACGAUGCGUAGCCGACCUGAGAGGGUGAUCGGCCACACUGGGACUGAGACACGGCCCAGACUCCUACGGGAGGCAGCAGUAGGGAAUCUUCCGCAAUGGACGAAAGUCUGACGGAGCAACGCCGCGUGAGCGAUGAAGGCCUUCGGGUCGUAAAGCUCUGUUGUUAGGGAAGAACAAGUAUCGGAGUAACUGCCGGUACCUUGACGGUACCUAACCAGAAAGCCACGGCUAACUACGAGCCAGCAGCCGCGGUAAUACGUAGGUGGCAAGCGUUGUCCGGAAUUAUUGGGCGUAAAGCGCGCGCAGGCGGUCCUUUAAGUCUGAUGUGAAAGCCCACGGCUCAACCGUGGAGGGUCAUUGGAAACUGGGGGACUUGAGUACAGAAGAGGAAAGCGGAAUUCCACGUGUAGCGGUGAAAUGCGUAGAGAUGUGGAGGAACACCAGUGGCGAAGGCGGCUUUCUGGUCUGUAACUGACGCUGAGGCGCGAAAGCGUGUGGAGCAAACAGGAUUAGAUACCCUGGUAGUCC